UACGUAGGGGGCAAGCGUUGUCCGGAAUUACUGGGCGUAAAGCGCGUGUAGGCGGCUCGGAAAGUCGGAUGUGAAAGCCCAGGGCUCAACCCUGGAAGUGCACUCGAAACUCCCGAGCUGGAGUCCCGGAGAGGAAGGCGGAAUUCUCGGUGUAGAGGUGAAAUGCGUAGAUAUCGGGAGGAACACCAGUGGCGAAGGCGGCUUUCUGGCCUGUUCUUGACGCUGAGGCGCGAAAGCUAGGGGAGCAAACGGG
rnacentral:rRNA from 1 species